AACGCGAAGAACCUUACCUACCCUUGACAUGGUCGGAAUCCUGCUGAGAGGUGGGAGUGCUCGAAAGAGAACCGGCGCACAGGUGCUGCAUGGCUGUCGUCAGCUCGUGUCGUGAGAUGUUGGGUUAAGUCCCGCAACGAGCGCAACCCUUGUCCUUAGUUGCUACGCAAGAGCACUCUAAGGAGACUGCCGGUGACAGACCGGAGGAAGGUGGGGAUGACGUCAAGUCCUCAUGGCCCUUAUGGGUAGGGCUUCACACGUCAUACAAUGGUCGGAACAGAGGGUUGCCAACCCGCGAGGGGGAGCUAAUCCCAGAAAACCGAUCGUAGUCCGGAUUGCACUCUGCAACUCGAGUGCAUGAAGCUGGAAUCGCUAGUAAUCGCGGAUCAGCAUGCCGCGGUGAAUACGUUCCCUGGGUCUUGUACACACCG
rnacentral:rRNA from 1 species